UACGGAGGGUGCGAGCGUUGUCCGGAAUCACUGGGCGUAAAGGGCGCGUAGGCGGCCUGCUAAGUCGGGGGUGAAAUCCUGCGGCUUAACCGCAGGGCUGCCUUCUAAACUGUCAGGCUUGAGCACAGUAGAGGCAGGUGGAAUUCCCGGUGUAGCGGUGGAAUGCGUAGAGAUCAGGAAGAACAUCAGUGGCGAAGGCGGCCUGCUGGGCUGUUGCUGACGCUGAGGCGCGACAGCGUGGGGAGCAAACAGG
rnacentral:rRNA from 1 species